GUUCUCUCCGUUUUUUCUGUCUGCUAUAUUUUAUGGAAAGGUUUUUGACUCUUUGUUUGGCCUGAUCCCACCACUCUAGCAGGUUGUCAGUGUGAUCCAUUUCCCCACUCAGGGUCUGCAGCAGGAUGCCAAUCUCACCUCUGAAGGAAUGGUCACUCCAGACGUUGUCCCGGAUGAGACAGGAUGACACCUCGGGGACAAGAGAAGACGAGAUCAGGCACAAGUCGAGUCGUGAUUGUUUCAGUUUUCCUAAAAUGACCUGUUUUCUGGUAAAUUGUUUUUUACCUGGGU